UCUGAGGAGGAAAAGCGGGGGGACUCGCAAGGGCCUCGCGCUGCAGGANCGGCCGAUGUCGGAUUAGCUAGGUUGGUGAGGUAAAAGGCUCACCAAGGCGACGAUCCGUAGCUGGUCUGAGAGGAUGAUCAGGCCACACUGGGACUGAGACACGGCCCAGACUCCUACGGGAGGCAGCAGUGGGGAAUUUUGGACAAUGGGGGCAACCCUGAUCCAGCCAUGCCGCGUGAGUGAAGAAGGCCUUCGGGUUGUAAANAUCUUUCGGACGGAACGAAACGGUUACGGUGAAUGGCGUGCCUAAAAAGGUACCGUAAG
rnacentral:rRNA from 1 species